rnacentral:lncRNA from 1 species
AAAUGAAGGAAGGUUUUUCUCUUGUGCAUGGUAGUUGCCACUGAUUUAUCAACUAGAGAGCACCAAAUACAAGUAUUCAAACGAUUUUUACCAUUCUUCUCAAAAAUUUGGGACAAAACACUUCUAUUUUCUCCAGAGCUUCCAUUAUUAUUUUCAUCUCCUUUUUUCAAUCCUUAAUUCAUUUUUUCCCUCAGUUACCGUCACUAUGGAGCAGCACAGCCAGACGG